rnacentral:rRNA from 1 species
AUUGAACGCUGGCGGCAGGCCUAACACAUGCAAGUCGCACGAGUGGCGGACGGGUGAGUAAUUUCUGGGAACCUGCCUGAUGGAGGGGGAUAACUACUGGAAACGGUAGCUAAUACCGCAUACCAUCAGAUGUGCCCAUAUUGGAUUCGCUUGUUGGUGGGGUAACGGCUCACCAAGGCGACGAUCCCUAGCUGGUCUGAGAGGAUGACCAGCCACACUGGAACUGAGAAACGGUCCAGACUCCUACGGGAGGCAGCAGUGGGGAAUAUUGCACAAUGGGCGCAAGCCUGAUGCAGCCAUGCAGCGUGUAUGAAGAAGGCCUUCGGGUUGUAAAGUACUUUCAGUGGGGAGGCGUUACCGGAAGAAGAAGCAACGGCUAACUCCGUGCCAGCAGCCGCGGUAAUAC